GAUGAACGCUGGCGGCGUGCCUAAUACAUGCAAGUCGAACGGACAGGUGCUGCUUUUGUGGGGCGCACGAGAGGCGAACGGGUGAGUAAAACACGAGUAACCUGCACCUGACUGUGGGAUAAAUUCAGGAGAAAGGGGAUAAUAUCGGGUAGGAGCUCCUGCAGCGUGGUGGGGGAUGGAAAGAUUCGGUGGUUGGGGAUCGAAUCGCGGCGUAUCCGCUUGUUGGUGGGGUAGUGGCUUACCCAGGCUUUGACGGGUAGCCGGCCUGAGAGAGUGACCGGCCACCUUGGCACCUAGAGGCGGCCCAGGCUCCGACUGUUGGGAGCUGGGGGGAAUAUUGCACGAGCGGCGGAAGGCGGAUGCAGCAGCUCCGCGUGCGGGAUGACGGCCUUCGUGUUGUAAACCGCUUUCGCCUGUGACGAAGCGCGAGUUACGGUAAUGGAUAAAGAAGCACCGGGUAACUACGUGC
rnacentral:rRNA from 1 species